UCCGUGUUAGUUCCCGGUGUCCCUCUGCAAGAGGUAGGAGGGGGCAGAGGCAGGCACUCAGGAGCCUCCUCAACACUCUACCUCCCACUAGCCACCCUGCUCAACGGCCGACAUGACCAGCACUCAGUAGAUAUGAGGACAACAGCAGCAUCCUGAGCUGACAAAGAAACACUUCAUUGAAGGAACAAGAGGCUGGCCCUCUGAUCAGCAGCACUUCCUUAAGAUGCACCUCCCCAGGAUCAUGAAGAGAACCCAGUCACCCCACAGAGAGACCGUUUCCCCUGUCCUCUCAUACUACUCAGAGCCAGCCUACCUGCAGCACCGUAAGGAUGUGACUAGAGAUCUGGCCCCGCUGCCUUGUGGAACGAGAAGAGGAGCCCUGGAUGAGGAAGACCAGGAAGAGACGCUGAGCCUACGGAGCAUGCCCAGUAUGAGAAGCACCCUGAGUCACGC